AUCCUCAACAUAGUCUUGUUGGUCCUCCCUUUCUAUACGCUGAGCAUUUUCUUUACGAAAAACCAGGACAAAACUCAGUAUAUAACAAAUAUGCAAGGUUUGUUCAAGAGUUGGGAACAUUGUAGGUUUUCUAAUUAGAAUGUGAUCAAUUAUUAACACAGUAUUAUGAUUUUAAGAAUGUUUUAAUGUUUAAAAAAUGUUUUUAGGGAAAGUGAAAUAUCUCCUUACCAUCCGUUAUACAGAUUACGUAAAAGAGGUCGAUGACACAACUAGAAAUUCCACAAAAAUGAAUAACGAUGCAGAAUUUGGAAGUAAGUAUUAUAUAUUUACAUUUUCCAGCGUCUUUGUUGUGAUAAUAAUACGAAUCAAUUUUCUAAUGUUAGCCAAUACAUUUUUUCAAUGUCUAUUUUAAUAUCUAUUCGUACAAGUGCUGAAAAUUAUAUAAAUAAUAGUAAUUAGGAAUCAUUCGUUGAAUAGUAUGAGGUGAUCAAAUACGAUCGGGG